GAUGAAGAACGCAGCGAAAUGCGAUAAGUAAUGUGAAUUGCAGAAUUCAGUGAAUCAUCGAAUCUUUGAACGCACCUUGCGCCCCUUGGUUAUUCCAAAGGGCAUGCCUGUUUGAGUAUCAUGAACACCUCAACUCUUGUGGUUUCCCACAAUGAGCUUGGACUGUGGAGGUUUUGUUGGCCCUGUGGUCAGCUCCUCUCAAAUGGAUCAGCUUACCGGUGUUUGGUGGCAUUACGGGUGUGAUAACUAUCUACGCUCGUGGUCGGCUCCAAAUAACCUCCAGUGAUGGAGGUUCGCUGGAGCUUAUAAAUGUCUCUCCCCAGUGAAGACAGCCUUUGAACGUUCGAUCUCAAAUCAGGUAGGACUACCCGCUGAACUUAAGCAUAUCAAUAAGCGGAGGA
rnacentral:misc_RNA from 1 species